rnacentral:rRNA from 1 species
ACCGAGCAGGAUGAUGGGGCCUGGGACGGGUUACAGCUCAGAACCGGACUGUGGCGGCGUACCUAACACAUGCAAGUCGAACAGAGGAAACUGUGUGCGGUGGCGGCGCAGUGCAGCCAACAGGUGGAAUCUGCUCGGUUCAGAAUAACGGCGAGAAACGAGCGCGCAAUACCGGAUGAUAUCGCGGAUCGAAGAUUUAUGCUGAGUUGAACCACGGCGUUGGAUUAUGAGUAGUUGGUGGGGGUAAAGGCCUACCAGACCGACGAUCCACACAUGUGGCUGGCGCGGAUCUGAGGACGAUGUACAUGGGACGCUGGUGCAGCUGAAUACUGCGGAGGCAGCAGUGGGAAUAUUGAAUGAUGGGCAGCUCGGUCAGCAAUGCCGCGUGGUGAUCAAAACCUGGGGUUGUGGCUCUUUUACCCGGAAGAUAAUGGCUAUGGGAAGAUAAGCCAGCUAACUCCGAUACCAAGCGGCAUGUACGGAAAGCAAACUGAUUUGACCAGAUUACUGGGCGUAAAGCGCGCGCGUAGGCGGCUUUGUAAGUCAGAGGUGAAAGCUUGCUGGAGCUCAACAGGACUUGCCCCAGACACAUAUAGAUCGGAAGGUCAGUGGAAUUCCAGGUGUAGAGGUGAAAUUCGUAGAUAUUCGGAAGAACACCAGUGGCGAAGGCGGCUGACUGGACUGGUAUUGACGCUGAGGUGCGAAAGCGCAGAAUAAACGGGAUUGUAGAUGCACAUAGUGAAGAUCACGCCGCUAACGAUAAUAACUGGCUGUCGGGCGCGGGUACUUGGGUAACUAUACUGUCAGUUAUCCGGCACUGAAAUUUGCGACCUAAAGUCACUCUGAAAAAUUAUUGAGAGCCUUGCUGUGUCGGGCAUGUGGUUCAUUGAGGCAACGCGCGAACCCUGCAGCGUUUGACAUGUCUGGAAUCCCGAAGAGAUUUGGGAGUGCUCGCAGGAAGGACCGGAACGUUGCUGCAUGGCUGUCGUCAGCUCGUGUCGUGGAUGUUGGGUUAAGUCCACCAACAGGCACCAGCCCUUGUCAUUAGUUGCGCUGCACGAAAGGCACUCUAUGGAGCUGCCGGUGACAAACCGGAGGAAGGUGGGGAUGACGUCAAGUCUCCAUGGCCCUUAUGGGUAGGGCUUCACACGUCAUACAAUGGUCGGGACAGAGGUCGCCAACCCCGCGAGAGGCCAAUCCCAGAAACCCGAUCGUAGUCCGGAUCAUGAUCUGCAACUCGACUGCGUGAAGUCAGAAUCGCUAGUAAUCGCGGAUCAACAAUGUCGCGGUGAAUACGUUCCAGGUCUUGUACACACCGCCCGUCACACCAUGGGAGUGGGUUUUACCAGAAAGUAGUUAGCCUAACCGUAAGGAGGGCGGUCUUACCACGGUAGGAUUCACUGACUGGGGGUGGUCGUAACAAGGUAG